GCGUAUAUUAAAGUUGUUGCAGUUAAAACGCUCGUAGUCGGGUUUCGGGUCGGGCCGAGCGGUCUGCCGAUGGGUAUGCACUGUUUGGCGCGGCCUUCUUUCCGGAGACCGCGGCUACUCUUAACUGAGCGGGCGUGGGAUACGGAUCGUUUACUUUGAAAAAAUCAGAGUGUUUCAAGCAGGCAGCUCGCUCUUGCAUGGUACAGCAUGGGAUGAUUGAAUAGGACUCCGGUGCUAUUUUGUUGGUUUCGAACACCAGGAGUAAUGAUUAACAGGGACAGUCAGGGGCACUCGUAUUCCGUCGAGAGAGGUGAAAUUCUCAGACCAAUGGAAGACGAACCACUGCGAAAGCAUUUGCCAGGGAUGUUUUCACUGA
rnacentral:rRNA from 1 species